rnacentral:rRNA from 1 species
GUGCCAGCCGCCGCGGUAAUACGGGGGGAGCAAGCGUUGUUCGGAUUUACUGGGCGUAAAGGGCGCGUAGGCGGCCUCCGCAAGUCAGUUGUGAAAUCUCCGAGCUUAACUCGGAAAGGUCAACUGAUACUGCGGGGCUAGAGUGCGGAAGGGGCAACUGGAAUUCUUGGUGUAGCGGUGAAAUGCGUAGAUAUCAAGAGGAACACCUGCGGCGAAGGCGGGUUGCUGGGCCGACACUGACGCUGAGGCGCGAAAGCUAGGGGAGCGAACGGGAUUAGAUACCCCGGUAGUCCUAGCCUUAAACGAUGAAUGCUUGGUGUCUGGGGUUAUAUAGUCCCCGGGUGCCGUCGCUAACGCUUUAAGCAUUCCGCCUGGGGAGUACGGUCGCAAGACUGAA